GUGAAAACAGAGUACUCAAAUCUCAGUCGCUUCCCGGCACUCUCCCACCGCGACUAUUCAGAUUGCCUUACCUCGAAAAGUUUGAUGUCACCCGCAACUACCUGAGCGGCACAAUUCCGAUAGAAUGGGGCUCUACGAACCUGGUCUACAUUUCUCUACUCGGAAACCGAUUGACUGGUCCAAUCCCGAAGCAACUAGGAAACAUAUCCACACUUCAGGAAUUAAACGUCAAGAUCAAUUGGCUUUUUGGACCUCUACCUCCAGAGCUGGGGUACCUGUCCCAGUUAAAUAAAUUGUACCUUACGUCAAAUAAUUUCACCGGGGAGCUGCCCAAAACAUUUGUUAAAUUAAUGGCAUUGCAGGACCUGUUA